rnacentral:lncRNA from 1 species
AAAUAUUAAAAAAAAGAAUUACGAAAAUUAAAAAAUGAGAAAAAUAUAUAUACGAGUAUAAAAAAGAUAUAGUGAAGUUUGCAAGUUUUCAAUCUCAUUUCUUCUUGUUUAUUCCCGAUCAUCGUAUCCUUUUUCAUUCCCAAUCCUUCAAACCCCAACGCCACACAUACUUCGAUUUUUUAUUUUCCUUGUUUCAGCCUACCCUACA